CCGGGGAGCUGAGCUCCCGCCAUGAAGCCAGGUUUUGGCCCCCGUGGGGGUGGCUUCGGUGGCCGAAGGGGCUUUGGUGACCGUGGUGAUCGUGGUGGAGGCUGAGGAGACUUUGGCAGGGGCAGAGGUCGUGGUGGCGGGUUUAGGGGCGGAGGCCGAGGAGGAGGAGGUCGAGGUGGUGGAGGUUUCCAGUCUGGUGGCAACCGGGGUCGUGGUCAGGGAGGGAAAAGAGGAAACCAGUCGGGGAAGAAUGUGGUGGUGGAACCUCAUCAGCAUGAAGGUGUCUUCAUUUGUCGAGGAAAGGAAGAUGCACUUGUCACCAAGAAUCUGGUCCCUGGAGAAUCAGUUUAUGGAGAGAAGAGAGUCUCAAUUGUGGAGGAAGACGACAAAAUCAAGUACCGUGCCUGGAACCCCUUCCGCUCCAAGCUGGCAGCAUCAAUCCUGGGUGGCGUAGACCAGAUCCAUAUCAAGCCGGGGGCCAAGGUGCUCUACCUUGGGGCUGCAUCAGGCACCACUGUCUCCCACGUCUCUGACAUCAUAGGCCCGGACGGUCUAGUCUAUGCAGUUGAGUUCUCCCACCGCUCUGGCCGUGACCUCUUUAACUUGGCCAAGAAGAGGACCAACAUUAUUCCUGUUAUUGAAGAUGCUCGGCACCCACACAAAUACCUCAUGCUCAUCGAAAUGGUGGAUGUGAUCUUUGCCAACGUGGCCCAGCCAGACCAGACCCGGAUCGUAGCCCUGAAUGCCCACACUUUCCUUUGUAACGGAGGACACUUUGUGAUUUCUGUUAAGGCCAACUGCAUUAACUCCAUGGCCUCAGCCGAGGCUGUGUUUCCCUGUGAAGUGAAGAAGAUGCAGCAGGAGAACAUGAAGCCCAGGAGCAGUUGACCUUAGAGCCGUAUGAAAGAGACCACGCAGUGGUGGUGGGUGGUGUACAGGCCACCUCCCAAGGUGGUAAAGAACUGAAGCCCCGCACCAUCUGGAUUGCCAAGACACUGUGUUGCUACUGUCUCACAUGUGUUUUUCUAUUAAAAGACUCAUCCAGGGGCACCUGGGUGGCACAGUCGCUUAAAAAAAA